GAUCCUGGCUCAGAAUCAACGCUGGCGGCGUGCCUAACACAUGCAAGUCGAACGCGAAAGCCCCGCAAGGSGUAAGUAGAGUGGCAAACGGGUGAGUAACACGUGGGUGACCUACCUUCGAGUGGGGGAUAACGUCCCGAAAGGGACGCUAAUACCGCAUGACAUCCUGCCUUUGAACACGUGGAGAUCAAAGCUGGGGAUCGCAAGACCUGGCGCUUGAAGAGGGGCCCGCGUCCGAUUAGCUAGUUGGUGGGGUAACGGCUCACCAAGGCGACGAUCRGUAUCCGGCCUGAGAGGGCGGGACGGACACACUGGGACUGAGACACGGCCCAGACUCCUACGGGAGGCAGCAG
rnacentral:rRNA from 1 species